rnacentral:rRNA from 1 species
UACGUAGGGUGCGAGCGUUAAUCGGAAUUACUGGGCGUAAAGUGUGCGCAGGCGGCCGAGCAAGUCGAGUGUGAAAGCCCCGGGCUUAACUUGGGAAUUGCGCUCGAAACUACUUGGCUGGAGUGUGGCAGAGGAAGGUGGAAUUCCAGGUGUAGAGGUGAAAUUCGUAGAUAUCGGGAGGAACACCUGUGGCGAAGGCGGCCAUCUGGACGUUCACUGACACUGAGACGCGAAAGCGUGGGUAGCAAACAGG